UGGGCUACACGGACCCCUGUAUGAGAACUUCUGCUCUAGGGAUAUGGCUGUUGAUUUUUCAUGGAAGGCACAGAUACAGUGAUGGGCACCACUAUAAAACUCUUAAGAUUGAACCCACUGAUAACGUGAGCAUCUUUGGGGCAAGGACCACUUUUUGUGGUGCUAGGCACUGUGCACAUACAAACCUGAGUUUGGCUGCUAGACACUACCACAGUACAAAAAAUCACCACCACCACUGUCUGCUUGUUCCUGAUCCUGGGGUGAGGGAAGUAGAUAGUAUCAACUAUGUGCUGAAUAACCCCUGAGAUAAAAAUGCCAGAAAGAUUAAACCAGUUAAAUUUAUGAACAGAAUGAAUUUAAACAUGAGGUUAAAUACAAGACAAUUAAAAAUAAGAGACAGAAAAAACACCUAGUAUUGCAUACUCUUCCUUCUCUUUUGUCAAUUUAGAGCAAUGGCCUUUUUUUUUAUUUGUAUUCCAGUAACACGUAGAGGCCAACCAGGCCAGGGCCCGAUUGUGCUAACGUGCUGAAAGCAGAGAUGGCAAGUGACAGCGUCUGUCCCAAAAAGUUUAUAAAUCUAAAGCGACAAGACACAACAAGUGGAUGAGACAAGUGGGCAAGGGAUGAAAUAAAACAAACAAAAGGAUAUGCACAAUUCUUUGCCAAUCAGAAACAGUGAUCACAAUUUGCCACUUGUUCAGCCAUUAUCUGAUUGUACUUUCGUGCAAACAAUACAGAAGAGAUGAGUUCUGAAGAGAUGAAUUCUGAUGGAUUCUUACUGAGCACAUUUCCCACUUCCCACAGAAGUGCUUAUCAGAGUAGAGAACUGAAUUUUGGGGGCAGUCAUCACUGGUAGAGUUACUAUGGAGAAUGGGAGAUAGGCCAGCAAGGGAUCCAUUCUCCCAGAGAGCCGGCAGCUGUUUGUAACUCCCGGAACAGUUCAGCCCGUCACAGAACAGCAUCAUGGCCGAGCGUGAUGAUGGAGAAGGCACCUCUGGUGAGUAUGCAAGUCCAAUUAAUAUUUGGAGGUCACAUAUUCUUAUAUUCUGUUUAAUUAAAAAAGGUUAUGAAGUACAGUAUCUAUUUGCUUCCCAGUAGCUGCACCAGGUAGGCAGAGAGUGCCCCAUGAAAAAGGCUGUUUAUAUGCAGAGAUCUACCACAUAUUUUCUUCUUUUGUUAUCAAUGGUAGCAGAUACAGUAAUCAAGAAGAGUAAUUAAAGAGAAAUUGCUUCUAAAGUUGGUAUCUUUCAGUCACUUCUCUGACAGUCAACUGAACCAUGUAAAAUUGCAAAUAUGAAUCAAAAACAGAGCAGG